AACGUAGGGGGCUAGCGUUGCCCGGAUUCACUGGGCGUAAAGCGGGUGUAGGCGGUUCUUUAAGUCGGAUGUGAAAUCCAGCGGCCCAACCGCCUGAAUUGCAUCCGAUACUGGGGAACUUGAGGACGGUAGGAGGUCGGUGGAAUAUCCGGUGUACCGGUGAAAUGGACAGAUAUCGGAUGGAACACCAGUGGCGAAGGCGGCCGACUGGGCCGAUCCUGACGCUGAGACCCGAAAGCUAGGGUAGC
rnacentral:rRNA from 1 species